rnacentral:tRNA from 1 species
GGGCGUGUGGCGUAGUCGGUAGCGCGCUCUCUUAGCAUGGGAGAGGUCUCCGGUUCGAUUCCGGACUCGUCCA